UUCCGGUUGAUCCCGCCGGACCCGACUGCUAUCGGAUUGAGACUAAGCCAUGCGAGUCAACCCGCAAGGGUGGCGGACGGCUCAGUAACACGUAGUGAACCUGCCCUGGGGACGUGGACAACCAUGGGAAACUGUGGCUAAACCGCGAUAGGUCAUUGUUUCUGGAAUGGGCAAUGGCUCAAACCUACAUGGCCCCAGGAUGGCACUGCGGCCGAUCAGGUUGUUGGUGAGGUAAUGGCCCACCAAGCCUGUAACCGGUACGGGGCUCUGAGAGGAGGAGCCUGGAGAUGGGCACUGAGACAAGGGCCCAGGUCCUAUGGGACGCAGCAGGCGCGAAACCUUCGCAAUAGGCGAAAGCCUGACGAGGUUAUUCCGAGUGUUCCCUGCUAAAGGGAUCUUUUGCCAGCUCUAAAAAUGCUGGUGAAUAAGGGGUGGGCAAGCCUGGUGUCAGCCGCCGCGGUAAUACCAGCACCCCGAGUGGUCGGGAUGAUUAUUUGGCCUAAAGCAUCCGUAGCCGGCGCAUCAAGUCUUCCAUUAAAUCCACCUGCUCAACAGAUGGGCUGCGGGAGAUACUGCUGCGCUAGGAGGCGGGAGAGGCGAGGGGUAUUCCAUGGGUAGGGGUAAAAUCCUCUGAUCCAUGGAGGACCACCCAGUGGCGAAGGCGUCUCGCCAGAACGCGCUCGACGGUGAGGGAUGAAAGCUGGGGGAGCAAACCGGAUUAGAUACCCGGGUAGUCCCAGCUGUAAACGAUGUAGGCUCGGUGAUGGACUGGGUUCGAUCCAGCCCAGUGCCGCAGGGAAGCCGUUAAGCCUACCGCCUGGGGAGUACGGUCGCAAGACUGAAACUGAAAGGAAUUGGCGGG
rnacentral:rRNA from 1 species